UGGGCAUCUCAGGAAAGGGUGGCUGAAGGAGUAAAUGGAUGAACAAACAAGCAAAGGAACAAACGAGUGAUGACUCAUAACUCUUGGCAAAAGAAGCCAAAACCCCAGGCAGCCCAGAAGGUCUGCCUUUUCCUGGGAACAAGUGCCCACGUGUUCGAGCUCCCGUGUGCCAAGAGGCAGCACUGCGCUCCGCCUUUCCCACCCACCACCAUCCUCCCAGCAGCUCUCUGAAGCAGAUGCAGUAGUUCCCUCCCAUUCCACAGAGGAAGGGACCCAGACUUCAUGUGACUUCAGAUCCUGAUCUGCCCAAGCCAGCGUCUUGAUCCCCGCACCCAGGGAGAUGGGUCUGUGCCUUCACUGCCUCUGAACCCCUUGUUUCAUCAACAGGAUCCUUUCUGCACAUGUGGCACUGAGAGCCCCUUCCCAUAUGGACAGCGGCUGAACAGAAGUGACUGGGAGCUGCAUGGCCCCCUUAGGAGGACGGAAAGGUACCUGCUUUGGAAUGAGAUACAACUGGGUUUUAAUUCUGGCUCUUCCACUUACCAGCUUCGUAUUCUCGGCCAAGUCCCGUAACCUCUCUGAGUCUCUGUUUCCUCUUGUGUGAAACGAGGAUAAGACUAUCCACCUCUUGGGGCUGCUGUGAGGAUUAAAGUUCAGCCACGGGGAGUGUUUAAUACCGGGCUUGACCCACGGCUGCUGAUAAAUAAAGCAGUAACGGCAGCGUAUCCUUAGUUUGGAACAGUUUGUUUUUCCGUGCCCCUCAGUAAGGUAAGCAUGGCAUUUGACACCUUUUACAGAUGGGGAAACUGAGGCAUGCGGGGGUGAAGUGACAAGCCCGAGGUGCCACAGUUUACGAGGGGUAGAGCUGAGACUAGGCCGCCCUGCGCGCAGAUUGCCCUUUGUCUCGGUGCUCUGCACUGCCCUAUGCGGGAUGGGGGGAGGGUCUCUCUCUUGUCCACUUGGCCCAGUUGGGGAUGAGGACCCUGGUCUGGAAGCCCUGAGUGAUCACAUCGCCAGCUAAGGCAAAGGCACCAUGCUGGGGCCUUGACGGGGGAAGCAAGGCCAUAGGGCGUUUGCUGAGGUCAGUGUGACUGCUGCUCCCGCCUGUGUGGCGACAGUGAGGACACAGCACCAGAGCCAAGUGGUGAGUGAUGUUGGGUGAGCGGUCGGGGACACCGAGUGUGGUCGGAUCUGCAGGUGACAGUGGACUGAUCCUCUCUGCCCUGCGUCUGAGGGUCAGGAGAGGGGAGGUCUGGGUGAGACAGGCCUCAGAAUGCUGUGCCCCAGGCUCCUGGCCUCCUCCAAGGGGACACUGGAGUGGACCGUCGGAGGCCACGGGGAGGAGAGAGCGGUGGGCCAUGCAAAGCGGGCUGCACAGAGGCAAGCACGGGCCCCCGGCCCCAGCCCUAUGAGUUGUGCCACCGGGUUCCUUCCACAUAAGCCUUCUCGUGGGAGAGAGAAUGGGAUUCACCUGUUUUAAAAAGGUUGCGAUUUACCUGCAUGACUUUGCACGGGGCUCAUUGGAGCCCAGGGAAGUCAGGUGCACCGCCUGGGGGCCCCCGGUCUAAGCAGGGAGUGGGAGUCUGCAGCCACCCCGGGGUGCACAGCUCUGCCACUGACACGGCACUUUAUCUUCUGAUUGGUCUGAGAAAGGGUCUCAACUUGGCCCAGGCUGCGCUGCCAGUUAGGGUCACAGAUAGGACUUGGGGACUUCCUCGAGGGAUGACGUUCAGGCCCUGCCCCCUCAUUUCCCCAGAGCCUCUCGUUCUGACUUUUGGCUCUAUUUCCAGAUGAGGUUGUGCUUAGAGGUACGCAUGGGACAGGAAGGAGACAUCUGCCACAUCACUCUCGAUAAACUAUUUUCCAUACCUAUCGCUUCACUUUAAAUGCAUCCAGAGCCCCACAAGGUGGACCUGGCCUCAGCCUCUCGGGAGCUUCAAGGCUCUGGACGAGGCCGGGUAACUCAGACCCGCUCAGGAGUGGGGUGUCUGUCACCCGCCUGCCUUGUGACAACAAUGAUGCCCCUCAUCUCGCUUGUCACCCCCUUGGGGCCCCCCCAAGAUGUGGGGACCGGCAUUGAUUGAAGCCACAGCAAACUGGGCCGGCACUGCCUGUGAUGCAUGCCGAGAAACACACCCAGCUGCUUUCAAAGCGCCUUUCUCUCCUCUCCUUUCUAAUGAAAACCCUUGUGUAAUCUGUUAGUGCCGCGUCUACUGGAGCAUGAAUUAUUCAGAGAAGUCUCUGUUCCGUUAUCUCCCCUCCCAGGGGGACGCCCCUACCAUUGUCCGCCCUGACGGGUCAUUAUGCACUCUGUGAAUUUAAUCUUUUAGGCUAUCUGGCCACACAGAAAAAAUGUAUGAAUAACAAUUUUCCUGUAAUAACCUUCAACGAACCUUUCAACCAGAGUGAGUCAUUCCAAUCCCAUUUUCACAUCAAGAGGAGUCAAAGGCAUGCAGUUACCUCUCGUCUGUUUCAGGAGCUGCCCCACCUCUGCCGCACCCUUAAUUUUUAAAGGGGUGUUGAAGAGUGUUACGAGCCAGAGGAGGGUGUGGGGAGGGUUGGGUGGUAAGAGGCGGGUCUGGAGUCCUGACACUAAGUCUGGGCCAGAGGUCCCGAGCCUCAGCUUUUUCCUGUGGACAGGGGAACCGGACCACCACAUCCAGGUCCUAGGGCCACUGCAUCUGGCUCUCAUCGUCCAGCAGCCUGAUAUUUUUUUUUGCCCCAUUGAAGGCAGCACUAAUUCCUUCCUUUGCUCCUGCAUAAGGAAAAAUGUCCCCUCUGCCAAGAGAUUUCCCCAGAGCCCUUCCACAGAUGGCAAUUUCAGAUCAGUUUUAGCUGUUGGUGAGAGCUAUGGUGUCACCAUGCUGCUGACAUGAGAGAGGACGGGAGAGGGUGGGGCCGUGCACGCACCCAGGAGCCCUAACCUUCCCCCCCACCCCUGGCUUCCCACAGUGCAGCGAUCUGGAAGGAACCUGGAGUUUGGAGUCAGGUAACUGACUUUGAGAGUUGGCUCCUCCAGCUGUGUGACCUUGGGUCACAAAAAUGGCCAAGGAGGUGGUCCUGAAGUUCUGACAGUUUCCUCAGUGGGAGAUGGGCACUCUGGGCGAUCACACAGACAGCACGGAGAACCCCGGGGGCCUGUGUGAAUGACGGGGUCUGCGCAGAGAGAGCAAGGUGCCACGAGGGUGAGAAUAAGGGAGAGAGACGGAUCUAAUAGUGAUGCUCUGCUGCCCAUUUGACACACGAUCCUGGAGAACCUACUGAACGCCGGGCACCCAGGAGCGCCACCCAGAAGGCCGGCCUUAUGAUUGUAGCUGGUUCCCGGAGGAGGGGUGACAUAUCAACUCACCAGAUCAGUGUUUACUCGCCAGGAAUCCCGGGCAUUUUAGCACUGGAUGAUGAGCCCCUGAGGGCAGACGCAGGUGUUCCUCUGUUUGGAGCUCCACAUCUCCGAUCAGGCAUGGACCAAGAGAUGUGACAGUUGUAACAGCUCCGUGUGGAGCUGGGUUUGCAGGUCUCACGGCAGGCACCUCUGAGCCCCAGGUGAAGUGUACACUGCUCCCAAGCUCUUGUUUUCCCCGGUCCUGGAAGUUACCACAUGAGGAUGAAUAAGGAAGACUCAAAAUGUAGUGAAGGAGACCAGUCAUCUACCACCAUGGGAGCCCAGCUGAUUAUCUGUGAACAUAUGACUGAAGGACCUCUCCCCCCUGCAUGGCCGGGGCGUCCUUCAGAGAGAAUGACUGGGGAGGGGUUAAUGCCAGGGGGAAGCCUGGGCUACCAGAAGGGAAGAGCCGCACGGUACCUCUGAAGAGGGGGACUGGGGGAACACAUUGGUCUCCCAGCAUCCUGGGCACAUGGCACCUGGUGCGGGGGAAGACCUGUCCUUACAGGGAAGCUCAGGUCACAAAUAUUUAACUUGAUGACUGGAGCUCAUUGAUGGGCGCAUGAGGGCUCAUUAUACUACUCUGUCUAUUUUUGUGUAGAUGACAUUUGCCAAAAUAAAAAGUAAAGGAAAGAAGAAGAGAGAGAGAAGAAAGAAAGAAAGAAAGAUCAACGCAUGUCAUGCUUCCCAUACUACUUUCUGAUUACAAGCUGACUACCCCCCUUCCUGCUGGUAGAGGCGGCUCUGAUCCUGGCCACGUGGUUCUGGCUUACUUGGUGAUCGUUUUGCCCUUUGCAAAUUAAGAAUGUGGCAUUCAAGUUUGGAUGAGCACUGCCCCAAGUGUGGUAAGGGGAUCAGAGCCUACGUGUGAACUGUUUGUUACCAGAAUACAAGGUGAUCGAGGGUAAAUAAUUUAGAAACUUCUGUAGCCAAGGACUUUGCCCUACCGUCCAAGCUCAGGGUCAGUGGAUGGCUCUCGUGAACAGGGCUUGAGGGUAGUCAGAUUUGAGAGGUGAAUGUCAUGUGGUGUGAACUGGGGCUUGAUCACACACAGUAGGACCAAACAUCAGACCACGAUGGAGUGGAUUUUUUUUUCAAGUCGUAUCUCACAACAUAUGGCUUGAAUCCUUGGGACUUUCGACGGCGUCAGUCAGUCCUUUAGAAUCUAGUCGUGGAGAGCCCUAACGAACAAAUUUCUAGACCUGCAAGAAUAAGACCCCCUGCAAGGACCCUGGUUUGAAUUGCGGAUCUCCCUACGGGGGCCUGCCUGAUCCACCUGCCCAGCCUCCCUGCCGUACCCUCACCCAUCCUCACCCAGCUUGUCGAAAAGCAACAGAUGCAAAGAGCCUGCAAGGGCAGGACAGUUUCACGGGCUAAGCCAGAUCCCCGCUCUCCCUUUUCUCAAAUUAAAAUGGAGAUGUGCUUCAGCUGCCUCUCCCACAUCCCUCUUCCUGGGAGGACCUGGAGGGGUCCUCAGGAGGGGGACAGAGGGGCACUCAGGAGCCCCGCACAAGCUGUCGAGGCUGUUCUGGAAGUGGGUAAUCUCUGAAAGGGUGAUUUAGAGCUCAGCGUGGCAGGGCUGGAGGCAGCGAGGUAGCUGUUCCCCACGGCGCUCAUUAAGUUUCCAUAGAUUGCAUUUCCUGCCUCCCCUCGCUAGCCCUCCAAAGUGCCUGUUACUAAUUCAUAAAAACACUGCGAGCGUGAUCGAGUCCGCUGAUUACUGGAGCAGGCAGACACAAGAGACGGUAAAAUGUUCCGUGUCUCUCUAUCAGGCUCUCAGGGGCUCAGGAGGAAGAAAAAAUUAAAAAAGAGAAAAACAACAACAUGAAGAAAGGAAUAUGAAAAAAAAAAAAAAAAAACCUGUGUUGUGAAAUAUUAAUCAGAGCUGUUUGCCCCCGGGGGCCAAAAAUAUGAGGCGGCAUAAUCAAUGUAGCAAGAGCUGCCCAGCAACAUGUCUUUGAGAAGCUGAUUAUUGCGGGUAAACACAGCUAAAUAUUCUGAAUCUUUGGACUGUGCCUCUGGUGUUGCUUGAGAAUCCGAUUCCCUUAUCAUCCUUCUGCAGGUGUAGCCCCGGGGAGGAGCGUGGGAGGUGUUGGCGGGACAUGGCUUCCUGGGCAGGGAGUCACUUGGGCCCCAGUAGGAGCUGCUUCUGUUCCUUUCCAA